AUGCCCCGUUCCGUCGACGAUGGACGGCGACCAUGGUCCACGGUGGAGGACUUGCAAGCCCUCAAAAGCACAAGAGCGGGAAAGACACCGGAGACGGGUUCUUGUGCGUCAGUUCACAAGGAGGAUGUUGGGCUGCCCAAGAAGCUGAGCCUCGCCUUUUCGCUGCCGUACAAGGACAACAAGGUGUCUCGGUCGGCGGCGUCCUCGUCGACCUCAAGCGCAAGAUUGAGGUGUUCGGCCCCAGCAGCAGGAGCGUCGACUCCGAUACGUCGCUUCGUCUUUCUUCUUCUACUUCACAUCAUCUGGUCCUUCUCUGACAAAGUAUUCGUUCGGGUUCUUGCUUGCUUGGUUAGUUUUCAGUGGAGAUUUAGAUUAAUCUUUCAAGGUGAAAGGAGCAGUUUGGUAUUCAGUUCUUUAUCUUUCUUUGGUAAGGGUGCUUUUUAG
rnacentral:rRNA from 1 species